UAAGGAAUAUUGGUCAAUGGACGCAAGUCUGAACCAGCCAUGCCGCGUGAAGGAUGAAGGUCCUCUGGAUUGUAAACUUCUUUUAUCUGGGACGAAAACGGGAUUUUUAUCUCAAUUGACGGUACCAGAGGAAUAAGCACCGGCUAACUCCGUGCCAGCAGCCGCGGUAAUACGGAGGGUGCGAGCGUUAUCCGGAUUUACUGGGUUUAAAGGGUGCGUAGGUGGGCUUAUAAGUCAGUGGUGAAAUCUCCGAGCUUAACUUGGAAACUGCCGUUGAUACUAUAGGUCUUGAAUUAUCUGGAGGUAAGCGGAAUAUGUCAUGUAGCGGUGAAAUGCUUAGAUAUGACAUAGAACACCGAUUACGAAGGCAGCUUACUACAUAUAAAUUGACGCUGAGGCACGAAAGCGUGGGGA
rnacentral:rRNA from 1 species